rnacentral:lncRNA from 13 species
CCUCGCCAUUCCCAGCUCUGCCCCCACGGGGCGGGCGGGGCCGGGGCUGCAGGACCCGCUCCGAACCUCCAGGGGGCGCCCGGGCGCCGCCGCCGCCGCUCGGGGGCAGGGCCAGGGCCGGGCGGUGGGGGCGGAAGUGACGUACCCGGGUCCGUCAUGGCGGGGGCGGGCGGCGCUGCGGUGCCUGCGGUCGGAGCCGGGGCAACUCCCCGAGCCGUCUUCUCGCUCCUGUCCCCCGGACUCUGGUCUGGUGUCACCCCGCUCACUGUGACUCCUCGGCCCGUUCCUCACCUGACGGAGGAUGGGUUUAUCCAGCCGUGUGCGGGACGUUUGGUCCAGAAAGGUCCCGGGACAGACCGUAUCAAAACUACCGAUACCAAAAAUUAUUCCAUCAGCUGCUCCCCUUGAUCGACUUGAUCGAGGCUGCGACCAUCCAAUCAACUCACCCACCAGACGUGCAUCCAACACCCCCUGAAAAUCCACCUCUCCAGGGCAGAGAAGGGUGUUGGGGGUGCCAUGUCCACAACCCAGAGAGGUGCCACCUGGAGCCCGCCCUUUGUCCCCGGGUGGAGUUGCUCCAUCGCAGAAAGCUGGUCAGGCAGGACUUGUGCUUGGUGAACCUGUGCUAGCUGUCCUGAAUCACCUCCUGCCCUCCGUGGGCCUCAGCAGAGCUCCCAGGAGGAUCUGUUCCAAAAUCUUCCCAGCCAUAGAGCUGAAGCUGAGGAGUUGGUAGUUCCCAGAGUCUAGGUCCAGAGUAUCAAGAUGGAAGGAGACAAUCUUCCCUGGAGACAUCCAAAGUGCUACAUGAAAUCCUGAGGGAGAUGAGGGUGAUACUAGCAGGUGUGAAGAGCCUGAGCCUCAACAGCGCUGUCAGCAGGAGAUCCACCAGCACUGGGAAUGGCAGAGCAGACCCAGCCGAUGAGGAUGAUGAUGAGGAUGAUGAUGUGGAUGGUGGGGCAAAGCCAUACCUUGUAGUGGGCAGGGCAGACCCAAAUGCUGUGGAUGCUGAUAAUUUCCAGAAGUACUGCAUCGAAGGCAUCGUGGCGGUCCUUGGCUCGAUGCUGCUGGGAAUGGUGCUGUGUUGUGUACUCCACGUGUGGAGGAAGAGGAGAAAGCGCCUCGCAGCUUCCAAAGCCAGUUCGGAGCGCCCAGACAGCCGGACAGAAGCCAGCAGAAUAUUUGCAGGAGUAUAAAUAAAGAUCAGCAGCACAAUCAACUGUGUUCUACUGGCAGCAAACUCCCAUGAGUGCCACUACACCCUUCAGAACCCUGGGGGUCCCCUGGGUUCUGAGGGGGUGUGGGGGGCCCCACGACGCCACUGAAUCUAACUUGCCACUGAUUCUAAUUUUUUCUAAUUUGAUUUUCACUGCAUGAUCCAUGCUGUAAGCAAUACAGUGUCCCCGGACAUCACAAUUUGUUGUGUUUUUGCAAAUUCAUAUUAAUUCCACCUGAACAUGAGGAAGAACUUUUCUGUGCAGGUGACCAUACACUGGAACAGAUUACCCAGGUUGUGGAGUCUCCCGUCUCCCCCAUCUGUGAUAUUCCAGAACUGUCUGGACACAGUUCUGUACAAUGUGCUCUGGAUGACCCUGCUUGAGGAGGGAGGUGGGACCAGAUGACCCCACUGUUGUUCCGUUCAACCUUAUCCACAACGUGAUUCAAGUUUGUUUUCACUCAUACCUUUGCCAGUGAUUCACCAGCAUGCAGUGAGUGGAAGGGGUCUCCCAUGCAGGGGAGGCACCCAGUGAGAUUUUUUCAUAUGCUUGGGCACCAUCUCCUGGAGAGAUGCAUGGCGAGGAAAGGAGCCGGGUGAGUGAGCUGGGGCAGACCUUGACAGGGCUUUUUCCAUCCCAGCUUACUGGGACACCAGGAAAAGGUGGGCUGCUUGUGCAGGCAUCCCCUGUGUCUGGCUGCUGUCCAGAACAGGCACUGAGUGCUUCCCAGCCUCCAGCAACACUUAGACCCAGGAAUAUUAUAUAUAUAUUCUCUUCUAUACCUUCUGCCAUGACAUGUUAACACUCUGUAGUUCAUGCAUUUAUUCUGAACCUGCUUUCCUGUUGCUCCAAUUAACCAAACUAUUCAUGAAUCUGGAUCAAUUAAGUUCUCACAGACCAUGACUGCACUUACAGUGCCCAGUUGGUGAUAUUCUGAAAUUUAGCCUUCUGAUUUCUCAGGACCAGCUGGAACACAAGGGGGUUUGUUUCCUGCCAAAUUUCUAAACUCUUGCCAGUGGACUGUGGCAGUGGUACUAGAGGGCUCCAGAGCCCUUCGAUUGGCAUUGCUUGUUGUGACAUCCCUGACCUGCCCUCCUUAUCCCUGUGCACCCAGCCAUCCCUGCUUUGGCAGUGCCAAAGAGACACCUGGG